rnacentral:misc_RNA from 1 species
AGUCAGAGUGAAGACCUCAAAAAAAUUGGUUGCUUUUAUCACAGGGGUACCUGCAAAGAUACGUGCUAGAGAUAACGUCGUGAUCAUGGCAGAGAUAAACUUUCUGUGUGUUCAUAAGAAGCUUAGAUCAAAGAGACUUGCUCCUGUCAUGAUAAAGGAGGUCACAAGGAGAGUUCACUUGGAAAACAUUUGGCAAGCUGCUUAUACAGCUGGGGUGGUCCUACCGACACCUGUAUCAACCUGUCAAUAUUGGCAUAGAUCUCUGAAUCCAAAGAAGCUAAUUGAUGUUGGGUUUUCCAGGCUUGGUGCAAGGAUGACAAUGAGCCGAACAAUAAAGCUGUAUAAGUUACCUGAUCAGACUGUCACACCUGGGUUCAGGAAGAUGGAGCCCCAUGAUGUUCCUGCAGUUACUCGAUUGCUCAGGAAUUACUUGAAGCAGUUUGUGGUUGCACCUGACUUUGAUGAAAAUGAUGUGGAACACUGGCUUCUGCCAAAGGAAGGUGUUAUUGACAGUUAUCUGGUUGAAAGUCCUCAAACUCAUGAAAUCACCGACUUCUGCAGUUUUUACACACUCCCUUCAUCAAUUCUUGGUAACCAGAAUCAUACCACUCUAAAAGCUGCUUAUUCGUAUUACAAUGUCUCUACAAAGACUCCAUUGAUUCAGUUGAUGAAUGAUGCCCUUAUUGUGGCAAAACAGAAGGACUUUGAUGUUUUCAAUGCCCUAGAUGUUAUGCAGAACGAUAGUUUCUUAAAGGAACUGAAGUUUGGCCCCGGUGAUGGGAAACUCCACUACUAUCUCUACAAUUAUCGAACAAAGCAUGUUUUAAGAUCAUCAGAGCUUGGGCUUGUACUCUUGUAGUUGGAGUUCACAAAACUGUUUGUUACUGGGGACAGAGCAGCAUUUUUGGUAAUUUUGUUUCGGUGUAGAACUCUCUAUUUUGCUCUAUCUGUCUCUUGUCCCUCUCAACUGGACUUUGUAGUUCCUGAUCUUGCCUGUUUCAUUGUAACUAUGGAUAAGUUCCAGUUCAACUCUUUUUGUGGGUAAACUAUCACAUCUUUCUAUGUCCUUCCUA